CUAAGUCUCCCAAGUAAAUAUGUCCCUGGUGUGAUUUAUAGACAAAACCUAAUACUUUUUUCCCAAAAAAGAAGAUAAUUAUAUACUAAUUAAAGGGGUGCAACUACACAAACCCAGCAAUAAAAAACUAUGAUAACAAGUACAUAACCACAAACCAAUCCCAAACCAAGAAAAAGUGCCUGAAACCUGCCAUUACAAAACACAUAUACAAUAAACAUCACCAGAAGAUGAAGAAUGUCAGAAGAACCCUCUGACCUAACAGUGAGUUGGUUUCAGAUCAGUGCCUAAGAUGGUGCACUAAUAAUAAGUACCUCUAUUCAUUAUAUUCCUAAUACUGAACCAACCCGUCAAAUUUUGCAUUCAAUAUGCAAAGUACAAAACCUAUAUGGGAUUAAACUAAUUUGCUAACUGCAAUGCCGCAUACAUUACUAACUUGGAGACUAAACAGGAGUUGAAGGUAUUAGGCUUUUUGCUGAUUGUAGGGCCACAUAUAUUAUAACUUAGGAGACAAGAUAAUCUUGCAGAGAAAUUUUAGGCUUCAGCGGUUGCAGACAUGAACCAUGGUGAGCAAGAGUCACAUUAUAAGUUAUAUAUGAAGUGAUGUUUUGGGUUGUAUUAGAAGGAUAAUGUUGGAGUAACAGUUUUGAGUAGUAUUGUAACAGCAGGUAUUUUGAGACAAAAUGUCUUAACAUUUUUUGUAGUGGGUUUGGAGCACCCCCUUGAUACUUCACUUUAUUCAUUGCCUACUAAAAAAACAAGAUGAACCUACUAAAAAAAAAACAUGAGAAGCAAAGGUAGCUUAAUUCAACAUGUUUUCUGGUGAUACAUGAUCAAAUAAAAUGAAAAUUUAACCAGGAGGAGGAAGAUAAUGCAUAGGUGGAUUAUGCCCAGGUGGAGGAGGUGGACUUGGCAUGAUUCUCAGUUUUCUCAUUUUUAGAUCUGCAAAUUAAGAUGACAGGAUGUUAUUAACUGUUGAAUAUACAUAUAAUAAGCUUCUAAAUUCAAUAAAAUGUACUUUUACUUUACGUGCUAAACACUUACAAGGAUGUCAUCUAUCAAACAUUAAUGAAUGACAGUGAUCGUGAUCUUGCAAUUUUAAACACAUGCUAGAAUCAAAAUCUUGGACCACAACAAAAUAAAUGGUUAUGAUGUUGAAUCACUGGUAGCUUUUCAUUUUCUGUUUUUUUUUUUGGAUUCAUUAGUUUUUUGGAACUCCAUGUCUAUUGUGAUUGAGCAUUACAAAGUUUGAAUCUGCUAAAUCUACAGGGGGAAAUAGGUAGAUGUUUUUCAUGUGUCAAUGAGGGUUAUGUCUUAGGAUGGUUAACCUUGUAUGAUUGUAAAGUCCUAGAAAAGUUUUGGUUCUUAAACAGUAAUCAUAACAUUUCUUUAUUGUCUACUAAGGUUCGAACAUUCUUAACGUGUUCUACUGCAGGUAAGGGCAGGGUUUUUGUAAUAAUCCUUUCAAAACAAUGAUAUUAUAAUGUUUUUCCAGAAACAACAAAACCCUACGUUUUGAUGAUACACUAAUUUGUCCAAAAAGAAAUGAACAUGCAUCCAUGACACAUACGUGGUGGAAGUGAUCGUGAUUAUCUUCUUCUAUGCAUUUUCAUGAUUCAUUAGGAAGACUAACCUGAACCAACACUGAACUGCAAAAGCAAAACAAAGGCUAUGAUGAACAGAAGAAAACGUAGAGAGAUCGAUGAGAGACUCAAGAUGUUAGCCAUGGUGAAACUUGAUAGUGUGAGUCAUGCUUCAGAAUCAGAAAUCAAGAAAAAUUUAUAAUGACGUGAGAAGAAAACCAUAACUUUUGUUCUUCGAUUUCAU
rnacentral:lncRNA from 1 species